UACGUAGGAGGCAAGCGUUGUCCGGAAUCACUGGGCGUAAAGCGCGUGUAGGCGGAUCGCUAAGUCUGUGGUGAAAGCGCCUGGCUUAACCGGGCGAGGUCCAUGGAAACUAGCGGUCUGGAGGCCGGUAGAGGGGGUGGAAUUCCGGGUGUAGUGGUGAAAUGCGUAGAGAUCCGGAGGAACACCAGUGGCGAAGGCGGCCCCCUGGGCCGCGCCUGACGCUGAGACGCGAAAGCGCGGGGAGCGAACGGG
rnacentral:rRNA from 1 species